AAAAAACAGAAAAAAACGUUUCUUUUCAAAAUUUCUAAAACUUUUCAAGAUUUUUUCUAAGAAUAAAAUUAUAUAACUAGAUUUGAUCACAAAGACUUUAUGUGUAAAUUUGUCACAAACAAAUCUUGUCAUGGUGAUCGGUAGAGAAUAUAUCUUAUUUGAGCUUUAUCGACAAGCAUGCUAAGAACUAAUAUUUUUUGUCAUAAUUAAAUAAAGAUAAACCUUUUAACUUUAAUUUUUAAUAUUUCAAAAAUGCAUUUGAAACUAUAAUUUCCAGCAUCUAAUUACUCUAGUUCGUUAACAAUUAAAAAUUAUCUAUAUUGUUUGUUACUUAGGAAAUCUAUGUUUUCAUUAUAAACCCAACUUAUUAAUCCUAAUUAUCAGAGUGUUUUAAUGUAUAAACUCAAAUUCUUACAAGUAUAUCAUACCUGUGAAGUAAUAAAUGUUGUCUUUGAUCUUUUCUUGGAUAAACUCUUUUUUUUUGGGCAAACGAUAUCUUUGAUCUUUAAUUUUUUUUUGAAGUUUCAUUUAUUUACAUUAUGACAUGGCAAUAGAGACUAUUGUUUAUCUUGGUUUGAAAUUUGAGUUUCACCGAAGCCAUUCUCAGCGUUACUUAACUUACUUCGUUUGCUCCACUCGCCGUCGCUUCACCUUCACAUCUCCUAUCCGCCGAUCAUCUAUCAAUGGUUACGGGUUCGCCGGAUCUGCUCAUUUUAGGAAUGGGUUCACCGGAUCUAUGUUUGUAUAUAUAUGGUAUAUAUGUAUGCAUAAGUAUAUGCUUAUAUUUUUAUCCCUAACUCUAAACCCUAUCUAAAAGUUAACCUCAAAACUCCAUCCAAACUUAAACCCUAUCAUAAUAUUAAAUCAUACCAUGAGGCUAAACCCUAAACCCUAGCCUAGGGUUAAACCCUAACCCAAAACCCUGCCCCAGGGUUAAACCCUAACCCUAAACCCUGCCCCAGGGUUAAACCCUAACCCUAAACCCUAGCCUAGGGUUAAACCCUAACCCUAAACCCUGUCCUAGGGUUAAACCCUAACCCUAAACCCUAGCCCCAGGGUUAAACCCUAACCCCAGGGUUAAACCCUAACCCUAAACCCUGCCCUAGGGUUAAACCCUAACCCUAAACCCUGCCCUAGGGUUAAACCCUAACCCUAAACCCUAGCCGAGGGUUAAACCCUAACCCUAAACCCUGCCCUAGGGUUCAACCCUAACCCUAAACCCUAGCCCCAGGGUUAAACCCUAACCCUAAACCCUGCCCUAGGGUUAACCCUAACCCUAAACCCUAGCCUAGGGUUAAACCCUAACCCUAAACCCUAGCCGAGGGUUAAACCCUAACCCUAAACCCUGCCCUAGGGUUCAACCCUAACCCUAAACCCUAGCCCCAGGGUUUAACCCUAACCCUAAACCCUGCCCUAGGGUUAACCCUAACCCUAAACCCUAGCCUAGGGUUACACCCUAACCCUAAACCCUAACCCUAAACCCUGCCUUAGGGUUAAACCCUAACCCUAAACCCUAGCCUAGGGUUAAACCCUAAACCCUGCCCUAGGGUUAAACCCUAAACCCUAGCCUAGGGAUUAACCCUAACCCUAAACCCUAGCCUAGGGUUAAACCCUGCCCUAGGGAACCCUAAACCCUAGCCUAGGGUUAAACCCUGCCCUAGGGAACCCUAAACCCUAGCCUAGGGUUAAACCCUAACCCUAAACCCUGCCCUAGGGUUAAACCCUAAACCCUGCCCUAGGGUUAAACCCUAACCCUAAACCCUGCCCUAGGGUUCACCCUAACCCUAAACCCUACCCUAGGGUUAAACCCUAACCCUAAACCCUAGCCUAGGGUUAAACCCUAACCCUAAACCCUUGCCUAGGGUUAAACCCUGACCCUAAACCCUGCCCUAGGGUUCACCCUAACCCUAAAUCUUGCCCUAGGGUUAAACCCUAACCCUAAACCCUAGCCUAGGGUUAAACCCUAACCCUAAAUUUCAUCGUUUUUUUAAAUAUAUAUAUAACUUAUAUGAAGACCUAAUGAGUUAAAUUCCACUUGUAAGAUUGAACCAUUUUUAAAAAAACAUCAACCAAGCAAAAUG
rnacentral:lncRNA from 1 species